rnacentral:other from 1 species
AAAUUCCUACUGUGUUCGAGAAGUGGAUUUAUGUUGACCCAGCACUUUUUUUAGGGAACUUAUCCCUUCUUGUGGAAUGAUGUUCAUUUGUAAAAAUGAAAACAAGAAGCAAGAAGGCAGUGCCCACCUGCUGAGAGCGGGUUAUCUUUUAAAUUCAUCAUACGGUACAGUAGGAUUUUA